ACAAGCAGGGGGAGUGGGAGAGGGAGAAGUAGGCUUCCCGCUGAGCCGGGAGCCCGAUGCGGGGCUCGAUCCCAGGACCCUGGGAUCAUGACCUGAGCCGAAGGCAGACGCUUAACGAUUAAGCCACCCAGGCGCCCCCUUAAUUAUGUAAUUUAAAAUAUAAGCAAAUAAAGGGAUACUUUUCCUGCAGUACCGUUUCGGCUGAAGGGAGAUUUAAUCUGAAGAUAAGUGCGUGCACCUCUUGGCCCAGUCCCCCGGGCAUCUGGCCCUUUCCCUAGAGGCCUUGGGAAGAGGUCUUGACUUAGGGAGAGGGUUUCCAUAACCACUUCAGCCUUGGACUGGCCUGGAGUUUAAUUUUCACCCUCUGCUUUUGUCUAGGGCUAAACUUGGGCAAGCUGCAUGCUCCUUGUCUUGUGCUAGAUCUUCAUAUGCAAGGUGCAUCUUCAAAGAAAACAUACCUCUUCAGUGACCUUUUCCUCUCCGCCAAUGAGCUGCUUCAUCCCUAGUCAUGCGCAGAAGUCAAAGGACACUGGGGUGGCUUCCAUGGUUCAUUCAUAAAGGGAAGAAAUGCUAAAACACGACUAUAAAAAUGAUGGUCUAUUUUAAAUAUUUGUGCCUAAUAAAUUAGUGCUUUUAAUGCAUACAUAAUAUGCUGUGUGGAGUGACCACAAUUAUUACAUAAUUAUGGUUGUAUAAAAAAUACCACCCGUGUCUUGGAGGAUGUGUGGUCUGGUAAUGGGACUCAUGUGUAAUGUUGUAAUGAUUGCAGGGUAAUUUGAAUCUAGUCAAUAGAUUAUAGACACUGUAUGUCAAAGCUUAACAUGAGACGGUGCUGGAAAUCUGAAGCUGAAUCCUUCUGUGUCUCAGAUGCCCCGGGACUGAAAGCUCUCAGAAGCCCACUUCAUAGGCCCUGAGAGUUCAGCUUCUAUCCCAUAAAAACUUAAAAGAAAAUUUUAAUAGCAAGGAACUUGGGUAUUUUCAUACAUGGAGUUUCUUAGAAAAGAGGAAAAAUCCGGGAUAUAUCAUCCAGAACAACUCGUUUGCUUUCUGACAUAACUAUUUGCUUCUCUUUUCUUUAUUAUGUGGACUUCCUACUUCACUCAUCUUGCUUUCUGCUUCAGUAGUUACUGAUUUGUGAACGUGUUUACUUGCGCUCCCCUUUGAAGUUGGGAAAAUUAAACAAACUCCUUGUCUCCAAAUAAUGUUGAGUGCAGCGUGCUUCUCCGAGGUCUUUGUGAAAUGCCUUUAAAACCACUGGUGAGCGUUGACUUCUGGACUUUUUCGUCUUUUAAAAUUUGCUCACAUCAUUUGGAUUAGAAGAAUGUGAACAGACAGCAAGAUUUAGACAGUGUGAUUCCAAAUUUGCGUGCUUUUCUGUAAAUACCCUUUUUUAAAAAGGUUUUAUUUAUUUAUUUGACAGAAAGAAACACAGCUAGAGAGGGAACACAAGCAGGGGAAGUGGGAGAGGGAGAAGCAGGCUUCCCGCCGUGCAGGGAGCCCGAUGCGGGGCUGGAUCCCAGGACCCAGGGAUCAUGACCUGAGCCGAAGGCAGACACUUAACGACUGAGCCACCCAGGCGCCCCAGUACCUUUUUUUUAAAGAUAAAUAUUGUGUCUUUUAAAUCAUAUCGAAGGGUUUGGUGGCCAUUCCUUUGUCCCUCCUUAUCCUUCUCUUUCCCCCCAACUAUCCUCUUCUUCAUUCACGCCUGCACUCACACCCUCACUCAGCACUCCUAGAAUGGACAGAGUGUUAGGGAGGUGCAUUUCCUAUGUAGGUAACUUUGCCAGAUCAUAUAACCUCUCUCUGUCUUAGUUUUCUGGAUUGGUAAAAGGGCAGUAGUGAUGGUGCGAGCCCCAGAAGGUAAGUACCGUAGGUAUAUUGUAUAGGUUGGUGAGAGGGUUAAAUAAAUUUAUGAAUAAAAGUACUUGGCACCCAGGGUGUACUCCAUACGUUGUCCUUAUUUUUUGUUGUUAUUAAUUUUAUCAUCCUUUCAUUCACUGCUCCCUGAUCAUCAUACUUCUUAAAACGGAGUAUGCCAGCUACUAAGGACCUUGUGGUUAACAGAAAGAUGUGGUUUUGCAUUCAUGGACCCUUGAACCCAGCAUUUACUUCUUUUUUUUUUGGAAGUCUGUUUAUUUUUUUUAGUAAUCUCUGCACUCAAGAUGGGGCUCGAACCCAUGACCUCUAGAUCAAGAGUCGCAUGCUCUUCUGACUGAGCCAGCCAGGCACCACUAGCAUUUACUUAUUUUUUAAAAAUUCUUUCAUACGAGGAAGGGACAGAAAUGCUUAAUGAAACUGUGAUGGCCAGUUUGCUUGUUUAUACCCCUCCCUUCCUUCCUUUUUUUUUUUUUUUAAGAUUGUAUUUAUUUAUUUGAGAGAGAGAAUGGGAGAGAGGGAGAGCACAUGAGAGGGGGGACGGUCGGGGGAGAAGCAGACUCCCUGCUGAGCAGGGAGCCCGAUGCGGGACUCAAUCCUGGGACUCCAGGAUCAUGACCUGAGCCAAAGGCAGUCGCUCAACCAACUGAGCCACCCAGGCACCCCUACCCCUCCCUUCCUUAAAAAAUGUUUUAAAAUAGUUUUGUUUUCAAAAUAUAAUACCAUUUUAUUCUCAGAUUAAUGUGGUGUCCUAGAGUAGAGGGGAGGCCUUACCUUUGUUUGCAGAUAGAGCGACCUGAUCACCGUGUAAAUUCUUGCUCAUGGGUAAGUUUCCAGUGGGGCUGAGGCCCCAGGUAUUUUAACUGUGAGUCUGGUUCUCUGCAGUAGCCCUUUUAACCCCAUUUUUAGUACUGAUGGGCAUCCCAUCAUGUGCUCAUUUGUUGAGCAUGUGUGACUUUCAAAAGGCUCUGUUAGCCUGUCGAAUUCCAUGAUGAAUUAGAUAGCUAUGCUUUCAUUCUGAGCAUGUAACUAGAAGCAUGCUGACUACUGGAUGGAGUUUUGAGGGUUUCAGGAACGUACAUUGGGUUGUUCUUAAUAUCAUCUGAAUAGGAGGUGGCAGUUCAAGGAAGGUUCCUCUCAUUUAAGCUGAGAUCUUGUUCAUGAAUUUCCAAAAUGACCACAGAGGCCAAUUUGGUAGCCUGACCAUUUUGGUCAUAUGCAGGGAUAAUCUCAAUGGCUGGUUGGAGCUAAGUGGUGUACAGGCUCCUUUUUUUGGAAAUGUAUAUGAUAACCAGUCACGAAAAGUUGGAAAUGCAUAUCUGUCCCAAGUAUCCCUGAAAAUUUCUGUAGUUAUCACAUUACAAAGGGUUCAAUGGAAUCAAAGAUCUUUGGACUAUAAGACUAAUAAACUAUCUCAGGAAUCCCUUGCUUUUUUUACCCCUGGUAUUUUGGGAGGCUAAAAUAAACCUCAUUUCCAGUAUUUAAUUGUUUGUUUACUACCUAUUUGAAGGAAAUAUCAUUUUGUCUCAGAACAAUGGGGGCUGUGGUCACAAGAGAGUGGUGAGUUAACACAGGGAGUUGGGAAUCGACCCAGUUUGGCUCAGAGUUUAUGCAUUUCUGAAUGCAGGUGAAAAGGAAAGCUUCAUUGCAGAAAAUUCAGGAGAACUGGAAAUGGAAAAUUGAAACAUUAAAACAAAAUAGAGCCCAUUUUGAACAUGCUCCAUGAGUUGAUAUAGAACCGUUAGUCAAGAAGGUGUUAAAUGCAAAGAUGUCUACCCUAGUUCAUAGAUUCCUUAUCCUUCAUUGGCUGUUAAUUUCUGUUUUUUUUUUUUUUUUUUUUUUUUUUAGAUUUAUUCACUUAUUUGAGGUGGGGGGGAGGGACAAAGGGAGAGGGAGAAGGAGAAAAGCAGACACCCUGUUGAGCGUGGAGCCUGAUGCUGGGUUCUAUCCCACACCCCUGAGAUCAUGACCUGAGCUGAAAUUAAGAGAUGAGGCUCAACACACUGAGCCACCCAAGUGCCCCAUUGGGUUUUAGAUAAUUCAAGGACAAGCGUUUAGGAUAUAUGGAGCAAGUUGAUACAUACAUAUCAUUGGUCAUUGCCUCCCCACACCCAUGGCAGUUACAGCCGAGCAAUCACGGCACAUUUUCCCACCAAAGGCAUUGGUUUACAAAAUUAUUUGUAAUGUAUUGGAAUUGGCACAUGAAAUGAAACCCUUAUACUAUUUAUCACACAGGACAUUGUUUUUUCUAUUGAUGUGGUCUAGAUUUUACCCAUAUUCAGUUAACUUAAAAACAAAUGAUUGCCUUAUCUUAGUAGAAGAGUUAAUAUUUGCAGGUUCAGGUGAAGAAAUAGAUUCUAUAAAUACAUUUACAGCCUAUACUAAUUUUAUCCAUAGAUGAGUUGGGGGUGUGCACCUGAAUUUGUCUCUUGCAUCUGAAUCAGGGCCAAUCUCUAAGUUCUGUUAGCAGAAGUAUGUAAUUAAGGUAAAGGGAUUUGAACCGGCCAGCCAGUCCAAAAUUAGCUCUUGCGUUGAUGUUCCCCAGGUGCAAGGGCACCCAUGCCUGGUCCUUUCACCUUUAAUGCACUUGAUUUCUUUUCUCUAAGGCGUAUGCAUGUCUUACCAGGAUUGCAGCAAGUUUGGUUCUGGCUCAGAUUGGGAAACUGAGAUUGUUUUCUCCUGUGGUUCAUUAAUCACAUUUGAAACGUCAUUUGGAACCUUAGAAGCUUGUUUAAAUAUUCUUCUAAGGAUAAGUGUCACAUUACUUACAUUUAGCUAUGGUAGUCCAACAAGCUGUGUUUUUUUUUUUUUUUUUUUUCCAAGCUGUUUUUGGGCUGAUACUUUGAAAAUUAUGUUGUAUUUGCUUUUAAGUGAAGGUAGGCAGUACAAUCAAGGAAGGGUUUUUAAGUUUAUGUGUCCAGGAAUAUUCCUGGACGUAUUGUACGGCUACAGAUUCCACUGUGGCGACUUUGGGGGUGGGGUUCUUGGACUCUCUGCCCUCACUGGUGUGUACCUUGGGCCAGUUUUGCAAGCUGUCUUGUGCUUUAGUACCCUGAAUAAAAUGGAGACAAUAGCAGUACCUCUUUGAUAAAGUUGUUAUGAGGAUUAAAUUGAAUGACACAGAAGAGGUGAGUAAAUCAAUUGGCACAUGAAGCUUAAGAUGUAAGCAAUUAUUCCAUAGAGAUGGGAUGGCAGGGCAGGGACGAGGGUGAGACUGGUGAGGCACUUGCCUUGGGCACAAAAUUUAAGGGGCACUCACAACCUCAGUAAUCAAAGUAAAAAACAGUUUAAUGCAAUAUUUAGAAAGUGAAAAUCCAUGAAAAGUAUUCAUGAUGGAGAAAAUACCAACUUUGUUUUUUAUUAUUUUUAAAAUUUUUUUAUUUUUCUUUUUUUUAAGAUUUAAUUUAUUUAUUUGAGACAGUUACAGAGAGAGAGAGAGCACAAGCAAGGGGCAGGGACAGAGGGAGAGGGAGAAGCAGGCUCCCCACUGAGCAGGGAGCCGGAUGUGAUGCGGGACUUGAUCUUAGGACCCUGAGAUCAGGACCGGAGCUGAAGGCAGAGGCUUAACUGACUGAGCCACCCAGGUGCCCCUCAAUUUUAUUUUUUAAUUAAAUUUUUAUUUUUUCACAAUAUCAACUAUGUGAUUCACUCCGGAGCCAACCCUGCACCUGUGUGGCCCCAGCUCAGUGCUAUCACUCUACUCCCAGUCCUGGCCAUCACUCCGGUCAGCCAGGGCUGCGGCCUUGGCGGCUUUUUCAGGAAUGGCCAUUAGUUUGUGCUGACCAGUUCCUCUUGAGUCACCAGCACAUACUUUCAGGAUGACUCUCUGGAGCCAGAGGUGCAGCUGAAUCCUGGAAUAUUGCUGAGCUCACAGUUUGUAAGGAGACUGAUUGUAUAUCCUUGGUCUCACAGCCUGGUGCUCGAACUGUCUGAGCUAUGCAGUGCCAGACCCUGGAGUAACUGGCAUGUCCUAGUAACGUAUAAGCUAUUCCCUUACGAAGAACUCCUUUGGACACCGUAUCAAAUUUAUCAGGUUAGCCCUUCUUUAUAGACAGGUGAGGUACAGUUCCCGGUUCCUAAUGCUGACUUGCACUCUGGAAACAAAAUGAGGAAUAGGGGAAGAGAAAGAAUAUUCCAGAAGAGACAUCAGUUUUUGCUCAGAUUUCUCUGUUUUUUUUUUUUUUAAUUUUUUUUUAAAGAUUUUAUUUAUUUAUUUGAGAGAGAGAAUGAGAUAGAGAGAGCAUGAGAGGGGGGAGGGUCAGAGGGAGAAGCAGACUCCCUGCCAAGCAGGGAGCCCGAUGCGGGACUCGAUCCCAGGACUCCAGGAUCAUGACCUGAGCUGAAGGCAGUCGCUUAACCAACUGAGCCACCCAGGCACCCGGAAUGUGAUCUCUUAAAGAUAGAAAUACUAUGGCCCUAAGAGAAGUUGGAGUAGCAGCAGAGGCUUGUAGGCUGAGGUUUGCCUUGUUUGAUAAAGUGCUGUAAAAAGAAUUGGAUUGGGCUUAAUGUUCAAUUCUUAUUUAUUGUUGCAGAGAUCUUGAGAUCUCUGUGUAUCUCUGUGGCAAAAAACUGGCUGUUCUCUCUAACUUGACUCCUUUUUCUGGAAUUAAAAAAAAAAAAGAUUGAGCGAGUCAAAUGGAUAUCUGGGCUCUGAGUGAAGAAAGAGGUGCUUCCUGGAUCCUUAAAAUCACUGCCGUGUGAAUGCGGAAGUGUAGAGCAGAGUCACCCAUGUUGUCUGAUUUCACAUUACACUUAAAGUGAAGAAACUGAGUACCUAGGUGGGGUGGAGGAUAGGAUCCCUGAGUUAUAAGGAUUUGGGGGGUGAUAGGAGAGAAGUCAGAUGACCUGCGGUAGGGGAUGAGUUAGCUUCCGUCCUCUAGCUCUCUCUUGUAAGCAUUCUAGGCUCUGGGAGAUUCAGCACUGAGUAGAACAGAGAGUGUCCCUCCUCUUAUGGGAAAGCAGCAGCAGGUUGUGAGGAUUAAGAGCAUGGAUUCUAGAGCCACACACUUCCAGAUUUGAAUCCCAGCUUUACCACUGAGUAGCUGUGUGUCUUGGGUGAAUUACUUAACCUCUCUGUGCUUUAGUAUUCUCAUAUUUAAGAUGAGCAUAAUACUAUUACCCACCAAGUUGGGUUGUUGUGAGAUCCAGGGUACUUAGAAAUAUAACCUAGUAAGUCCAAUACACAAUAUAAGCCCCAGUUCUUAUGAAUACUAUUAUUAUAGACCUUAUACUCUUAUGUGCACUCAUAUGCCAGGUGAUAGGCCUGUUAAUGAAUGCAGACAAAAAUAACUGGAAGUGCAACAGGGGAUCAUGGGAUGCAGUCCUAGAUAGGCUGGUCAAGAAGGCCUCCUGGAGAACUUGAUCUUUGAGAUGGGACCUGGAUCCCAAGGACUGUGCCUCAUGAUGAUCUAGGGAACAGAGGGAACCCACAAAGACCCUGAGGUGGAAAAGACCUCUAGUGAGUUUGAGGAAGAGCUAGGAGACUGUGGUGGCCCCAGUGACACACUGAUGGGCAAUGGCUUGAAGACCAGGCAGCAGCCAGAUCAUGUAGGGUUUUGUAGACUUUGCAGGUGGACUUGGAUUUCAUUGUUAAGCAUAGUGGUUCCUCAAAUGAGCAGUGAUACAGUCUGGUUUUGAAAAGGCUACUCUGGAACCUCUCUACCUGUGUGUCCUCUCAGGAUGAAGUCAUGUGGAGUGCCUACAGGUUGAGGGCGAUGAUGACCCUGGAAGUAGUGUUGACAGCCUUCCAAGUAUACCAUUUGGGGGGGGGGUGAGGUUUGGGCGGCCACAGGGUUUAUGAAGAACCUCUGAUCUCCUUUCCCAUGCUGAGAUGCACAGAUUAAACGAAAGGAAACCCUAUAAUGCCACUGUCACUGAUAGAUAGGUAUUGAGCCUAAGGUUAAGUGCUUGAAUUCACAUUUUGGUUUCCUGGAAUUAGAAUUUGAAAGAUUGCCUCCUGGAGUGGUUUCCAUUUCUUGUUAACUUGAAACAGUCAACCGAUUUCUGCUUCAAAAUACCUGUGAGGGAUACCACUGAGAAUGGAGGUGGUGUUUGAGGAUGCCUCCUGCCUUUGUUUCUUUUGAACAAAGCAAGUGUAAACGUGUGUGAUUUGAAUUAGGGCAGGGAAUAAAGCUUCUACUAAUUGAGGAUCUUGCUGCACAACUUGUAAUGCAUCUUCACGGUUUACCUGUCCUCUAAGCUGAGUAUGUUUUGAUUGAUUUUUGCACGUAAUUGAGUUUGGCUCAAAAGAGUAACAAAGUCAAAUGAAAGAGUAAUUAAUUUUUGAACAUGGUCAAAAUUUUUUACCAGCAAUAAAUUGCUGAUGAGAAAGGUCUUUUACAUAAAUUUUGCAUGACCCACCACCCUGCCCUGACUGUUUAAAAAGAAGUCAGGUACAAUAAAUUCCAUCAUUUGAAGGUGUUGGUGAUGAUUUACUUUAAUUGUGAAUAUUUAAUUGUGACUAUCUUAUAAUAUCCUCUAGUGUCACAUAUGGGCUGGCUGGGGAGGGGCAUACAGAGAUACUGUUGAGUUUACCAAAUGUUUCUGGCUUCAUAGCACUCAGAAUGGAACUAUGAUGAAGCGCUUGCAAAGGGCAAGUGUGAAGGCACCGGGAUAGGAAGCAGCCAUAAAUAAAGGCUGCUCUUUGGGAUAGAGACCCUCUCCAUCAUUCAGCAGCUCGAGUUCAGCCUGACACUUGUUUCUCCUUAAUUCCAGCCUAAAAAUAUAAUUUGAAGUUUCUUGUAUUAAUACAUGGUGGCCACUGCCACCAUCCUCUGGAAACGUUUAAAACGAGGAAGAAUGUGCCAAGUAAGGGUAUCCAAGGGCUUGAUUCAGUCACGGAAGAGCUCAGACUCAGGAGAGUCAACAUCUGUCAGUUACGACUUAAUUUUAGUCCCAGUCUAAGUGACAUCUGAAAACAGAUGCAGAAACAGAGAGAAAUCAAUGCAAAGCUUUUGGUGAUGUAAAAACCAUCUUCCUAUUCAGACUCGGGUAAUAAGGCAUUCUAGAGAAGUGUUGGAUUCUAUUUUAUGCUGUACGUAAAAUGUAAUGUGUUUAUAUGAGGGUUGGAGAUGAGAGGCCAUUUUGUGGUCUAAACUGCUUUUUCAUUUAGAACCAGCUUUUGCUCCAGAAAGAGAGAGAUGUGAUUUUGGAAAUUUGCCUUUGGGCACUGAUGUGUUUGCUGAGUCAAGUUCUGAAUUUUUAGAAUGAAAAUCACCAUAGCUGUGAGUUGAAAGUGAGGCAGCAGGAGCAUUUCAAUCAUUUUUGGAUCAAGAAAAAAAAAAUCAGCAUUGACAUUUCUCAUAGUUAACCUUUUCUUGAUUAUAGAUACGUCUCUUUUUACCUUAGCAACAUAACAUGAGUGAUUUGUAUAAGUUUUUGCAACUGUACAAAAAUACCUGCCUAUGAUGCUGCGUUAAUUUGUCACUGUCUGAGCUUGGCCACAGGAUUUGCAAGAUUUGAUGAUUUCAGAGUUUACAGUCUCCAUGAUGUAGUGAUUCCUGGUAUCUUGUCCUGUUUUCUUCCACUGUCAGGGUUGGUCUGUAAUGGUAGGUCACUUCCAAGAUUACAUUAUAAAAAUUUGCCUUCCAUCCUGGGCAUUCUUUCUCUUGGAUUCCUCAUUCUGGGGAAAUCCACUGUGAGCAGACCAAUGGAGAGGCCCAUGUAGUAAGGAACUGAUGCCCCCUGCCAAUAGCCACGUGAGUGAGCUUGGAAGUAUAUCCUCCAGACCUAGUCAUGUUGCAGAUGACUGCAGUCAUCUAAGUAACCCAUUAACUGUGAGAUAAUAAAUGUUUGUUGUUGUUUGAAGUCAGUAACCUUGGGGCAAUUUGUUACACAGCAAUAGGUAGCUAAUACAAACUGAUAACAUUAAAUUGGUUAACUUAUGUGCCCUUCAUCUACCCAUCCAUCCACCCACCCAUUCCCCUAUCCACUAAUGCACCUAUCUACCCACUUCAUCCAUCCAUCCCUACAUCCAUCCAUCCCACUCUUUAUGCUUUCAACAAAUGUUUGAGGACCUGUUUUGUCCUAGGCACUGUGCCGGUGAUGAGGAUGCUAAGAUGAAUGCCACAACUGAUGUUUUCAAGGAACAAAAUACCUAGUUUUCUCCAGCAAAACUGUAGUUGAAUGCUACGUUGCCACUUUCCUAAGAUUAAAUUUGAGUUUUAUUUUUAUUUUACUUAUUUUUUUAAAUUUGAGUUUUAAAAGUAAACAUUUAAAGAAAGUUCUUAUUUUUCUGUAUCCUUCUUUAGUGUUCUUUUUGCUAAUUCAGAACAGGGAACAAUAAACAUCAAUUUAAAUCACAUUUGGUUUACACUAUAAAAAUGGAUUUUAGGUGAAAUUGAUGCAAAAUGUAUUUUAUGGCACAGUAUUUAUAAGUUGUAUAAUGGUUUAAGUGGAUUCUUCACAUUCAUUGUAUAUAAUUUUCCCCUGAUUAUAUUAAUUGGUCCAUAAGUAAAAAAGUUCUGAGCAAUUUGAGAAAGAAAAUCUGAUUUUGAACCAAAUCAAAACAUAAUAGUAAAUACUAAUAUUGAUAGAGCACCUUCUCUAUGCAGCUUCUGUAGUAAGCAAUUUAUGGACAUUUCUUCUAUUAAUGCUCACAGGGAGUUAUAAUUAUUAUCCCUAUUUCAUGGGUAAUGAAACUAAGGUUUAGAACAGUGAAUUAGUGCAAAAUCCAAAAGUCGGUAAGAGUUGAAGUUGAGUUUCAAACCCAGAUCUUAAGAUCUUACUGUGCUUUACAUAAAUGUAUAUAUGCUUGUGUAUUGAUAGACAAUAUCAUGCUAAAUGUUUCAGGAGUUUACAGUUUUCCCAGGAUACACUCAGUUGUAAUGUUUGCUAUGUGUCAACAGAGCCCUUUAAAGCAUGGUUUGGCCAAAUUUGUAUCAAAGUAUCAUGGGGACUGCAACAAUCCAAACUACCUAUCUGUCUGUCUGUCUGUCUGUCUGUCCAUCUACUUAUUUACUUCCUUACAGUCACAACUUUAAAUGGAGUAUCUUAUCAUAUCCUGUGCAACCCAAAGGAACUUUCUGGUUCUUUCUUUAUUAAGGUGCUGCAGUUGGGGGAAAAAGAGAGAGAGAGAGAAUACUAGAUUAGAGGUCUCCUGAAGAUUUACUUCUUCUAUUGAAUUUCCAUCACUGUUAGGACAAGGAGCAGAGAUGAGUGGACUAAUGUCAUCUGGGAAAGGACAAGUCCCCUUACCUAUUUUCUUCAAAAAGCUGUAUUCACAUACUUAAUAAAUAAAUGUUGACUGUUAAUAGUUGAGUAGAGGGUCACUUUUCUUGAUUUUUUUCCCUUCCUCUUCAUCAUCGCUGUCAUCAUUGGCAUCCUGUGUCACCCAAUCUGAACCUUUCAGAGGUUUCAUAAUUAUUUUAGCAAGAAAACAUGAGAUUUCAGGUUGAACAGAAACUUUAAAUAAAAAUUAGAGAACGAAAUGGUUCCAGCCAAGUGAAGGUCAGAUGGUGCUAACUGCCUGGGAAGUUACGUAAUAGAAACUGAGUUAAAAGGAAUACCUACUUAAUUAAUUCAUUUACAAGUUAAAUAAAAGCAGGAACAAAUGUGUACAUCAAAUGCAUAAUGACAUACACAUAGGGUAAUGGAAUGUUACUGCACCCAAAAAUGUUUAUAAUUGCCAGCAAAAUUUCAUCUUUUGGUGAAUUUCUUUCUCAAGUAUGUAUAUUCCCUGUUGCUUUUUGCCAUAGUUAAUCAUUUGAACUUAAAACAAUGGCAUCAACCUUUCUUUUAAUGAUUUUCUCUCUUAAACUUCUUUGCUGCCCUUGUGCGCGCUCCUCCUAUCUGAUGCCUUCUGUCCCUGUCAGUUUUCCAAAUGAGGGGUGGGGACUGCUGUGCCGUGUGAUGUGGCAGAAUUAGGGACUGCUUAGGCUGCACAGAGAGAGCGCAUGAGCCUCAGAAAGCCUCAAAUAACUUCCUCUCUUCCCCCAGAAUCAGCCUUUUCCCAGCUGCUAGCCCUCUCAUCCCCUGGAUAGAGUCUUUUCCCACUUGCCCUUGGAUUUCCUUCUGCUCCUUCAUGCUGGGUGUAGCAUGAUGGAUUGUGCCUAGAGGAAACUAUAUUGAGCUUGGGGCAGAGCAGGGUAAGAAGUUUGCUCUUUAGGAAAAAGAAAUCCAAACCAUUCCCCCCUCUUUGGUCAUUUGGUAUGGGGGUGAAGGGAAGCUGGAGUAGGGCACGGAGCUGGUUAAAGCCCAAGGAAGGACAUCAGGCAAGAAGCUGGGUUGGCUUCCUUCCAGCAGGAUGCAGGAAGGCCUUUGUGUCUUAUAGAAGAGAUGGUAGGCCUGCGUCUCCUUCACGAAUCUUUGUGGAUGAUGACAGAGCUUCUGUGAGUCGUCUCAUUGUUCAUGGUUGGGUUCCUUUGAAUUGCAUGAAAACGGGUGCUUGCCUUGGAUGCAAAUUUUGUUUCCUCCCUGGGUGAAGGGUCUCAGAUAGUAGAGUAUGUUGGCCACCAGCUCAGAAUGACUGCCAGGGACUGCUGAAAGUAGAAAUUUUAGAAGGAGAAUGCUGAGUGAGGCCUCAAGUGCUUCAGGGAACGUUUCAAGUUGGAUCCUUUUGAAAUGAGAUGGUCUUCUGGGAUGAUGAUGUGUUAUGAGAGGUGCCAGGAUUUGUUUUCCUCAGAUUCUACACCAUUUAAAACCAUAAGCCACAGGCCCUAAAGGAAUGAAGCACAAUUCUACCUUGGACUCACCUUCUUCAAGGCUCUGACACUUAGUGGGCCUUCUCAAUAAUGAUUCAGAGCAGUUCAUAGUUCAGGGAAUUAUAUUUAACAGAACUGGUCUAUCUAUAAUUCUGGAAUGCAGCUGAUCCCGAAGCACUUUUGAGGCAAAUAUUCAUUAUGCUUUGACGAUUCUCUUGGUGGCAAAGCCAUGACCAUUGAAAUUGAAACUCGUUAUGUCAGGUCGCUCUUGCUGUCAGUAUGCUGCGUAACAAACUGCCCCCCAAACUUGCCGCCUACAACAAGGAUGUCCUCUCAGUCACAGGUUUGUAGGGUGGCUUUAUGUCAGGCUGUGGGUUGGUUGGUCUUGUCUCUGGAGUAUGGGAUUUGAGUUGGGGUUGGAGUUGGGUUUGUUCUGUUUAUUUCCUCUUUCUUCUCUGACUAGCAGCUACUCUGACAUAUUCUUCUCAUGGUGAGUCACUGGAGUGUUAAGAGGCCAAGCCACACUGCAAAAGCACACUUGAAGUCUCUGCUUGCGUCAUGUCACACCUGGGAACGUUCUGUUGGCCAAAGCAGAUUGCAUGGCCAAACCCAACAUUUAUGGUGCAGGCAAGUAUGCUCUACCCAGAUUGGAAGAAACUGCAAAGUUACAAGGCAGAGAGCGUGGAUCUAUAAUUUUGAUACAGGGACAACAUGCAUCAUGAGCAAUGGUUCAGUCUACCAUACUGUAUUAAGCUUUCCUGGUUUUUCCCUCCUUCCCUCCCUCCCUUCUUCCCUCCCUCUCUCGUUCCCUUCCUCCUUCCCUUGCUCCCUCUCUCCCUCUCCUUCUCUUCUCUUCUCUUUCAUGAUAAAAUAUACAUAAUGUAAAAAAAGCCAUUUCUACCAUUUCUAAAUGUGUAGCUCUUUCUGUGACAUUAACUUCAUGCACAUUGUGAUCUAGCCAUCACCAUUAGCCAUCCCCAGAACUUUUUCCGUUUUCUAAACUGAAACUCUGUACUCAUUAAUACUGACUCCCUGUCCCCCUCCCCCAGCUCCUGGCAACUGCCAUUCUACUCUGUGUGUCUAUGAACUUGACUACCCUAGGUACCUCUUUCAGUAGAAUUGUACAGUAGUUAUCCUCUUGUAACUGGCUCAUUUCACUUAGCACAAUGUCUUCAAGAUUGGUCCUUGUUGUAGCACGUGUCAAAAUUUCUUAGCUCUGUAGGAUUGAAUAACAUAUUCCAUUAUAUGUAUACAUUGCAUUUUGUUUAUCUGCUCAUCCAUUGAUGAAUACUUGGGUUAUUUCUACUUUCCUGAUUCUUUGUUGCUGAGUUUUCAUGUUCCCUGUGGCUGGAGCAAUAUGACUUUGUCAAAUAAUCUUUUUCAAUCCAGAUCCUGGGUCCAACCUUGUCCAUUCAUUUACUCAUUAAUUCAAUGGAUACUUGUUAAGCACCUACUAUGUAACAGGAGCUGUUGUAAAGGAACCUGAAAUCUCUCAAUACUUAGAGUUGUGCUGUCCUAUUUGGUAGCCAAUAGUUACAUGUGGCUAUUUAAAUAAUUAAAGUGAAAUAAAAAUUAAAAAUGCAGUUUCUCAAUUGCAGUAGCUGCAUUUCAGGUGAUUGAUAGCGACAUGUGGCUGGUGGCUAUUGUAUUGGGCAGCACUGACUUCGAGAGUAUAGGGAAGGCUGUGUGGCGGUGAUUGAGUGACAACUUUCUCUUUCCAGAAACCCCUCUUAAACCACAAGACUAGGAACGGGUCACUUUGUGAGUGCAGGCUUGCCGCAGUUUACUUGUCCAUGUUUGUGCAACAAGCCAGCCGACCGGUGGUGUUGUUCAGCACGUAGCGAGGGUAAAUCAAACAAGUGAUGGAGCUUUUCUAGGUCAGUGGCACUUUUACCUCCAGGAGGCAUUUGACAGUGUCUGGAGGUAGUUUUGAUUGUAACAGCUUGGGGAGAGAGGGAGGUGUUACUGGCAUCUCAUCUAGUGGGUAGAGGCUGGGGAUGCUACUAAACAUUCUACAAUGCACAGGACCGUCCCUCUCCCAACCCCAAACAAAUAACUGUAUGGUCCCACAUGCUAAUGAUUGGAACUUUUAGAUGGGUUCCUGCUCCUGGUAAAAUGGUUACAGAUGAGGGCUGGGAACUGAGAGCUAUGGCCUCCAGGAUUCAGAAGAAGCUGGUGUGCAGUGAGAGAAAACAAAAUACAGAAAUGAAGAGAUUCCCGACCCUUGUCCCCGAGACCAACCUCUUCCAUUUGCUUGGGUUUGGUGAAGGACCUCCGUUUUAUAAAACUUUACUCUUUCACUUGAAUCAUUUUGAAAUGGGAUUAGCCUUUUGCUAAAUGUUCCUAAUACAGCAAAUUAUUUAGUAAUUCCUUCUUUUAGUUCUUCUAGUUAUAUCGCGUGUAAACUGGGGAUUACGUUCAGAGCAGUCCUAUGAAAUGUCUAACACACACGAGUCGUGUCCUGACAGCAAGCUCACAGAGAUGUUAGGACUCAACUCCAAAUAGACUGGAACCUUCCCUGUGAAUCAAAUAUUUUUUCGAAUAAGCAGUGGAGCUUCUUCAUAUUUUACUGGUGGCCUCUUGGCUGGUGAUGAUCUUAGUCCUGCAUAUUGUUUGUGGAAACCAAAGGGCUUCAGUAGAAUGCCUUUUCAAAAUCUUUUUUUUUUUUUUUAAGAUUUUAUUUAUUUAUUUAAGAGAGAGAACACAUGUGCACAGGGUGGGGGAGGAGCAGAGGGAGAGGGAGAGAAGAGUCUUAAGCAGACUCUGCACUGGUUGUGGAGCCCAGCACGGGGCUCGAUCUCAGGACAGGGAGAUCAUGACCUGAGCUGAAACCGAGACUCGCCCACUCAACCGAAUGUGCCAUGCAGGUGCCGCUGCCUUUCCAAAAUCUUAUCUCAGCAUGCAGAGACAGCAUCUGAGAGUUUUCUGCAUUGCAUCACAUGUAGGGACUGAAAGCUGUCUGUGUACUUUCAGGAAGCCUGUGAUUUUAAACAAGAGUGCGUUUUAAUCACUUGGAAACUGUAUGAAUUGCAUGAUUUCCAAAAAUCAAAAUAGCUCGAGACUUUGAUUUUAUCACUCAAGAAAUCCUUGAAGAAUGUCAAUGGGAGUGACACAGCCUUGUCCUGGAGAUUUUCAUCAAGAGGAGUUAAUGCAUACCCAUAUGAACUUUAAAGUCCUAUGUAAGUGUAAAGCAUUUCAGGAUAUGCUGCUAAUUGUCACAUCCCCCAAGGAAAUAAUUCAGCAUAAAUUCACAAACAGUACAAUAAAUAUACUGUGAAAGCAAACCAAAAAAUGCUAUUUCAGUGGUCUGAUUUAGAAUAUCCAUGGUGGCUAUGAAAACAAAAUGUGUAUAAAGAAAUAAAACGUUUGUCUUAAAAAAAAAGAAUAUUCAUAUUUACUUUCAUUUAAAGUGAAGAAGGAAUAGAGAUGAAUAAAAAAUUUAGACAGUAAAAAGUGUAUAGAGUGGAAAGUCUCUGAUCUCCUGAAUUCUCCAGUUCUCCCAGAUGCAACCACCUUUAGUGGUUUCUUUUUUUUUUUUAAGAUUUUAUUUAUUUGAGAGAGAGAGAAGGAAUGAGAGCAAAUGGUGGGGAGAGAUAGAGAAGGAAGGAGAGAAUCUUAAGCAGACUCCACGCUGAGCAUGGAACCCAGUGCGGGACUUGAUCUCACAACUCUGAGAUAAUGACCCAGCAGAAAUCAAGAGUUGGAUGCUGCACCGACUGAGCCAUCCAGGCGCCCCAAUGGUUUCUUGUUCUAGAAAUUGUUUAUACUAUAUAAGCAUAUUCCUUUUCCUCUUCUGUUGUUCUCCCUCCUUUAAAAAAAACUGUGUACAAGAAAACAUAUAGAGAACAGAAUGUGUGUGCAUGUGUGUAUGAUAUUAUGUAUUUAUAAUAUAUGGCACAUAUGUGUACACACACACGUAUAUACUGUAUGUAUUUUUUGAUGAUAUGUAUAUAUCAGUUUCUGCUCCUUGUUAUUUACAACUGAUAUUUGCAACUCUCUUUUGGAGUUCUUUUUAUGUUAGUGCUGAGAUUGGCUUCAUGCUUUUCAGCGACUUGGAGUUUGCCUUCUUGUCAGUGUUCCAUACAUAAUUUAUUUAACUGGUCCCCUGCUGAUGAACAUUAAGGUUCUUUCCAGCCUUUUGUUUUUACAAAUCAUGCUGCAGUGAGUAAGAUAUCCUUCCUUGUACCUUGAUCUUUAUGUACAUAUAAUUGUAUUUAUAAAAUAAAGUCCCAAUAGUUUUCUAGUUCAAAAGGUAGACACAUUUUAUGUCUUUAUUAUAUAUGGCCAAAUUGCCCUUCCAAAAAGAUGCACCAUUUUCUACUUUUACCACCUGCAUAUGGACAUGCCUAAAAUUUCAUCCCCUUCUUUCUUCACCAUCCUUUCCUUCCUAUUUCUCUCUCCAACUUCCCUUCCUACCCUCAGACCCAGUCUAGCAGUUGGGACACCUUCGAGGGGAAGGGCAUACUUGUGAUCCAAGUAUGUAGAUCACAAAUUGCAGGAGCCUUCUUGAAAGACACAAACCUGACCCCCUUGUGAGCACUGAGGCGAAUUUCCUCCCUGGUAGGGGUUUGCAGUGCCGGACAUGGGUUCCCCUUUGCCCCCUUUAGCUGAUGGCCCAGCCUCAUCUCGGUGAAUUCCUCUUUCUCGUUCAUUCCCUGGGAGGCUUUUAAGAGCUGGUCCUCAUCUCUAGCGCCCGAGAAAUCCAUAUCUGUUCACUUGUCUUGGGUGCUUGCCAGUACUUAGCGAUAGGCAUGGCUGUCCCCUGCAUUCUUGCCAUUUCAGAAGAAGUGGUAUCUGUUUGCAAAGUACAGUGUCAAGCAACGGUUUCCAGAUGACUGCUUGAGUCUGGCAUUUCCAUUAACACUUUCAAUCGGGAGAUGGUUUCUCUAGCUCAGCUGGCAGGGGACCCAGGUUUUCAUCCCACUUGCUCUCCUGUAUCUUUCCCAGCCUUUGACCCCAGCUGGGUUCACCCCUAACUUGAUUCUGUGUGCUGUGGAGUUUAACUGGAACACUUAAAAAAAAAAAAUCUUUUCACCAUGGCAUUGUUGACAAAUCCUCUCUAGUGCUCUUCUAUUUUUGAGCAGGAAAUGACAUUCUGGGCUCUUCCUUGCUCUCCUCCCAACGUUUUAUUAUAAAACUUUUAAACAGCACAGUUAAAAGAAUUUUAUCAUGAACACCUGUAUGCACGCUAAUAGAUUUUGCCAUCAACAUUUUACUGUACUCGAUUUAUUGCAUAGCUGUCCUGGUAUUCAUAAUUUGGGGCUCUUUUUGUGAUGACUUGUGAUAACUCUCUGGCUCUUCGGGGCAUCCCCAGCAUGGCUUGUUAGGAGUCUGACAGCGAGAGGACCCAGAAUUGGAAAUGCUAAUGGCAAGGAGAGUAUUUUAACAAGAUAUAAAACAAUAGCAGGGUAUUCUUUCUUCUGCAAGACUAACCUUUAGUAGCUCAAGAUCACACCAAAGUGACAAAAGCUUAAGUGCUGGUACCUGUUCCCAGAGUUCCGAUGAAGGCUUUUUCCUGACCACGAAAUCUCUGCCACCUCAUACGAUCUUGGAAUUUCUCCAUCUUGUGAUUAAGAGAAAGAGCAGGGGCACCUGGGUGGCUCAGUCAGUUGAGCAUCAGACUCUUGAUUUCAGCUCAGGUCAUGAUCUCGGGGUCCUGUCAUCCAGCCCUGCAUCAGGCUCCAUGCUCAGCUUGAUUCUCUCUCCCUCUCCCUCUGCCCUCCCCACCCCCGCUCUCAUGCGCUCUCUCUCUCUCUCUAAAAUAAAUAAAUCUUUUUUAAAAGAGAGAGAGAAAGGAACACCUGGGUGGCUCAGUCGGUUAAGUGCCUAUCUUCAGCUCCAGUCAUGAUCCCAGAGUCCUGGGAUCGAGUCCCACAUCAGGCUCCUUGCUCAGCGGGGAGCCUGCUUUUCCUGCCUCUCCCCCUGCUUGUGCUCACUCUCUCUCUCUCUGACAAAUAAAAAAAACUUAAAAAAAAGAGAGAGAGAGAGAAAGGGCAAAGCCAGGAGUUUAUGACCAUUGAAGUACAAUAGAUUUGUGAUUAAAUCCCAUUGCUGCCACAUACGAAGCUUCAGUUUACUCAUCUGCAAAUAGGAAUAAUCUCCUUAGGUUUUUUUGAGAAUCAAAUGAGGCAAUACACAUAAAGUGUCUGGCACAUAGUUGCUUCUCCCUAAAAUCCAUGAAAUCUAUUACUUUUAAAAAUAAAAAUAUUUUGGGGAGCCUGGGUGGCUCAGUCGGUUGGGCAUCUGCCUUUGGAUCUGGUCAUGGUUUGGGAUCCUGGGAUAGAGCCUGGCAUAGGACUUCCUGCUCAGUGGGGAGUCUGCUUCUCCCUCUCCCUCUGUCCCCAAUUGUGCUCUCUCUCUCUCUGUAAUAAAAUCUUUAAAAAAAAUAAAAAUAUUUGUAAAAAUCCAUGAAAUUGAAAUGGAUUAAAAGUCCAUGAAAUUGAGCACUUUAUGGCAUGUACCAAAUGCUUAAUAUGUUGUGGCCUCUGUUCUAAAUGCUGUCCAUGUACUAAUUCAUUUCAUCUCACAAAAGUUUAUGAAGGCAGCACUACUAUCAUUUCCUUCUUACAGAUGAGUAUACUGAGGCACAGAGAGGUUUAGGAGCUUGCCCAAGGUCACAGGGUUAGUAAAAAGCAAUGCCAGGCUUGCAGCCCAGGCUCAAUGACAGGACCCCGAGAUCAUGACCUGAGCUGAAAUCAAGAGUCUGAUGCUCAACCGACUGAGCCACCCAGGUGUUCCUUUCUCUCUCUCUUUUAAAAAAGAUUUAUUUAUUUUAGAGAGAGAGAGAGAGAGAGAGCGCAUGAGAGCGGGGGUGGGGAGGGCAGAGGGAGAGGGAGAGAGAAUCAAGCUGAGCAUGGAGCCUUGAUGCAGGGCUGGAUGACAGGACCCCGAGAUCAUGACCUGAGCUGAAAUCAAGAGUCUGAUGCUCAACCGACUGAGCCACCCAGGUGCCCCUGCUCUUUCUCUUAAUCACAAGAUGGAGAAAUUCCAGGAUCGUAUGAGGUGGCAGAGAUUUCGUGGUCAGGAAAAAGCCUUCAUCGGAACUCUGGGAACAGGUACCAGCACUUAAGCUUUUGUCACUUUGGUGUGAUCUUGAGCUACUGAAGGUUAGUCUUGCAGAAGAAAGAAUACCCUGCUAUUGUUUUAUGUCUUGUUAAAAUACUCUCCUUGCCAUUAGCAUUUCCAAUUCUGGGUCUUCUCGCUGUCUGGAGUUCUGGGUGACCUCGCUGUAUAGGAAUCAUCGGGGGGUUUUCCGGCAGUGCUAUAUCAUUUAUCAACUCAUAGACAUCUGGGAUGCUAGAAGUUUCCCCUGGUCCGCUAUUCAGAAUCGUUUGUGAAGAGAAGGGCAGAAGAUGGAAAUCAAUAUGAUUCCCGAGUCUUGAACAGACCUGGGUGUUUUGAGGAGAAGCCUUGCCCCAGUUGGUCCCGUGAGGUUGGAAGUUGUGACCCUGACAGCAUCUGUGUGUCUGAGAAACAGUCCUCAGGAAGCUAUGUUCUGCAUGUACCUCAGGCAGCAAAGAAGAUGGAAAUAAAUCCCUCAGCUUUUCUCUUCUCACUGGAGCUCCUGCCUCAAUUCCAAGUCAGUCCUUUCCCCUUUUCCAUGAGUUCCAGGUGCUGAUGUGUCUUUAACUGCCCUGCACGUUUGCUAACCUCCCUUUCUAAUUGAGAGGCCAUAGUUUUUAAUGACAUUAUUUUGCUUUCAUUGUAUUUGCUUUGGGAGUUACCUUAUUCUUCUGGCAGCUGAUUCUAUGUCUGCUUAACAGAGGUGAUAUAAAGUUUCCAUUUAAAAUACAUUUAAUGACAUACAGAAAAACUGCCUUUUUUUUUUUUAAAGCAAGAUGGAAUCGUACAAUGAAAGGUUCUCAGAUGUGGCAGAAGUCACAAUGAUGAAAUAGAAAUGAUAGAGACUUUUUUUUUUUUUAAAGAUUUAUCUAUUUGAGAGAGAGUGUGUGUGUGCGUGGGGUGUGGGGCGGGGUAGAGGCAGAAGGAGAAAGAGGAUCCUCAAGCAGACACCCUCCUGAGUGCAGAGCCCUAUGCAGGGGCUCCAUCCCAGGACCAUGAGAUCAUGACCUGAGCCGAGAUCAAGAGUCGGAUGCCCAACCGACUGAGCCACCCAGGUGCACCCCCCCCAGCCCCCCAGAGAGGCUUUUUUUAAACACACCAAAUGACCUUCAAGGGCUGUCUGUCUAGUCUCCAGUGACAGUGGAUGAUCUGGACAGAGGGAACACUUAUAAGGUCAUUGCAUCUGUGUGGAAGAUGCUUGGAAAAUCAUGUAUACCCUGCAUUUAUUUCUUGGCUAGGAAAAAUAGACGCAGUAGGUUCAGGCCUCCUUGGAAGGUUUUAGAGCUAGGCUAAUUAUGCCUUGGGGCUUUGGCCAAGCAUGUUUGUUUUCAUGAAACCAUCCUUGGUAUCAUCAGUAGCCAGAAUAGAUGAGUCGAAUGCAGAUGUUUCCAAAUUCUCAUUGAAAAAAAAAUUUUUUUUUAAUGUGGCUGGAUAUCUAAGAAAUGGAUACUAUAUAUCUUUUAGAUGGGGUGGCUUCAGAAGUCAGGAACAUCAAAAAGGGGCAUCCUUAGGGAGUGCCUAAAAGUGAAUCCAGGAAUAGCCUGAGGAUCUGCAUGAUCCUAAGGGAUUCUGUUUAAGGAGAUUUAGGUGUGCAUCUGCUCAAAAAAUCUGUCUGAGUUAGCACUAAAUAACCUUAAGUUUGGAAAGGUGGGAAGGUAAGGACAAGAUUCUUACCUUUGAAAGACAACCAGGUAGAUACUCACUGGUAAGAACUUGUUGGCAAUUGAUGGAGCCCUGAGAAUGGGAUCAAAUGGUUGGGUGUAUGGGGGGUGGGGUGGGGGGAGAUUGGGAGAUUUGUAGGAGUCUAAAGGGCAACUCCUUUCUUUGUAUCUCUUGGUAAGAGAGGAGCCCCUGAUUCAUGCCCCUGCUCUAUGAAGAGUUCUUCCCUUUGAUUUAUUCCCCAACACAGGGAGAUGAGGCCCUUUUGGAAUGCCAAGAUGAGCCUGUCUUCCCUUUUUCUUACCCUUGUUCCUGGUGCUAGCAUCCGAUUUUGAUAACAGGAUGGAAGUGACUUCCUCCAGCAGUUAGGGGCUGAGGUCAUCAGUUUGGUCAGCAGGUCAUCAGUUUGGCUUCUCUCAAGUCCUGAUGUUUUUUAGGUUUCCCCAUAGAUCUGUGACCGUAAGGUAAUGAUGGGGGGCAGAGGUACCCUGGGAGAGAGAGACAGAGUAGUAAAAGACACGGGCAGGGUGGUUACUAGGUUAAUGGGGGGAAAAUUGUAUCUGUUUCUCGGUCUGCAAGGUGGUGUCUCAUGGCUGCUUUGCAGGGAUGUGAUGUGAGAAGAGUUAAUAUGUUAACCAUCUUAAAAGGACCAGACUCAUGGAGUGGUUACAUGUCAGGAUUCAGUAAUCCCACUGCCUUUCAUUGGAAGCCUGGCUUAGCCAUUUACUGGCCUGUGGUCUUGGUUUAAGUUUUAUGAGCUAUAUUUGUCUAAUACAUGAAAAAAUGUUGACCUUACAUCAAGAGAGUUUCUUAAAUACCUACUGUAUGCCUGGCACUGUGCCCGAUCUUGAGAUAAAUGGAUGAAAAAAACAGGCAAAGCUCUCUGCCUUUAUGGGAUUCCCCCCCCCCCCCAUUUAGGAUUGUUGUGAGAUUUAAAUAAAAUAGUGUAUGAAAGAAAGCUUGGCAUAGGCUCUUAAAAUUAUAAAGUAAUUAUUAUGGAAAAGUUAUGAAAUGCCCAUCCAUUGGGCAUCCAUUGGGUUAUCAUUAUUUAACUCUGGGAACAAACUACUUCAUUAUUUUAUACACAGUAUUUAAAAAAAACCAUGGUAUUCUUGUAACAUUCUUUUUUUAGUCUGCUCAUGAGAUGAAACCUAACUUCUCUGCCCAUUGUGUCAUAACUUUUUUUUUUUUUUAGAUUUUAUUUAUUUAUUCGUGAGAGACAGAGAGAGAGACAGAGGCAGAGGGAGAAGCAGGCUCCCUGCGGAGCAGGGAGACGGAUGCGGGACUCGAUCCCAGGACCCUGGGAUCAUGACCUGAGCCGAAGGCAGACGCUUAACCGACUGAGCCACCCAGGUGUCCCGUGUCAUAACUUUUUUUAAGAUUAUUUAUUUAUUCAUUUGAGAGAGAGAGAGAGCGAGAGAGAGCAAGCAUGAGUGGGGGGGGGGGGCAAAGGGAGAGGAAAAAGCAGACUUGCCGCUGAGCAGGGAGCCCGAUGUGGGGCUCGAUCCCAGGACCCUGGGAGCAUGACAUGAGCCGAAGGCAGACGCUUAACCGACUGAGCCACCCAGGCGUCCCGUGUCAUGACUUUUUAAUCAAUAUUUUGAUGUAACAAAGCUCAUCUUCCUCAACAACUGAGUUGGAAAGUACAUUUGGGGUGUGUGUGUGUGUGUAUGUGUAAAAAUCCUGGGAAAACUUGAAUGCACUUGACUGAUACAGUUUAAUAUCCAUGAGAACAAACAAGCUAAAUAUGCUUACUUCUUAUCCUAAAACUACUGAUAUGAGAGAAUUAAUAGAAGAAAAACAACCUCUUGAUGAGUAUUAUGCCAACCAAAUCAUGGAAACUGUCCCACUUGGAGAAAUAAUCUUUUCCAAAUGAUUUAGCUGAUUGCUCAGGUGGUUCCCAAGCUUUUAGCUCCAACCAGGCAAUUUGAUGUAAGCUUCUUUCUCCUCAGCACAAUAGAACAUUCUUGAUGUUUAUCAGGCAGAAACUUUAUUAAGGGAAGCCUGACAGGAAGGUUGAGGACAAGAGGAAUGGAGUCUGUCUUUAUAGGAAAGCUUGUUUUUUUUAAACACGUAAAAUGACAUGAACGGAUAUAGUUCCAUGCUAUCAGUUUGGCUCCUGACUAUAUUGGAAAUGAGGAUACCUGUUCUCCAUAGAGUGCCUUUGAGGGGCUGUUACACUAGACCUUCCUGAUCUCAUUGGCAUCUAUAAAAGGGUUCCAUUUUAAUAUUAUUUCCCAAGAUACUGAGGAUCACUGGUAUACAAAGGUAUUUCUGCUGUGUUAGCCAGCCAUGUAGAAUGCACAAGAUACUGUUCACAGGGGUUUUUUGUUUUGUUUUGUUUUUUUGGCUUUAUUUUUUUGUUGUCAAUUUACAUAAGGAAUGUUCAAGAUCCACCUCACUUAUUGAGUCCUGGCAGUGUAUAUUCACUUACGCACAUUCAGUGUUGCUUAAGGAACUUGAGUUACAAAUAACAAUAGUAACAUGUAGAAAGAAUGGGUUGACUACCUGAAUGAAUUCAAAGAGGAAAGGGUAAGUGCAAGCUGGGUAAGUAGUACCAAGCUCAAGGUGACUUUACUGUUUAUAGAAUCGUGUCAAGUAUUUUUUUUUUUUGACUGUACAGCGACCAGUUAGUUUCCUGUCUGUUUGUCCUACUUCUGAUUCAUCUCAGCAAGUGGAAAUAGCCUGAUGUAGGGAUAUACCAGAGGGAAACAGAAAUACCCCUACCCCUCCUCGUCUGGAAGCACGGUGUCAUGGAAUUUCAAAAGGUUAUCCUGGGAUUAUAUGUUAUUUCAAAGCUGAAGAGGAACCUGAUUCACUUAUUCACCCAUUUCGUCUCCCACUAUUUGUGUGUGUGCCAUGUCCAGCUGGCCCAUGCUCUUGCUGCCAAGCUUAUAGCUUAGAGACGAAGUAGGGGAAGUCAGUAAGGGUGGUGGGUUAUUAAUAGACAAGGAAGGAAUGCAUGUAACUGGCAGAUUUAAACUUCUUUCUCAGAAUAUUUUUCCUUGCAGUCACAUAGGAGGAAGGAUGGAAAAUGAAAUGGAAACCAAGGCGGGGAAAUUAUAUCGAGAAGUGGGAGAACUGAAGUGGGGGAAGACUACCAAAAACCCAUCUCUGCACAGUUCUACCCAAGGGCAAUCUCGUGUAUAUUUGUGUGGACAGCGAGACCCGUAAUUCUGGCUUCAAACCUGGGUGAUUUUCUCCUCUGUGAUUUCAGGGUAAAAUAUUGUAAUUAAAUCAUGAUUAGGUACUUUUUCGCUCCUUUGGAGUCAUUCCAUAGGACAGACCUCUUUUUUGUUUGGUGACCACAGGGACCAGUGACAUCCUAAUCUUCUUAGAAUUGUUUGUACUUAUCAGUUUGUUAGAAACCACUUUAAAGACAGAUGUCUGCCCACCCUUCCCCCAGCUCUCUUCUCGAGAGAUGUCAGACCCCUCAUGAGGAAUCUGUGAAAUGUGAACUAUGACUUGGUUAUAUGAAGUUCAGUGAAAUAGCUGGAGGUUUUCCCAGCAGAAGGCUGAAGCAGAAUUGUGUAGACAUCACUUUCUCUGUAUCUAGGCAAGCCUUUCUGGGAGCUUUUCCACAUGGGGAAUCCAGGCUCAAAGAAAAACCAGCUUGACUAUCUAAAAACCCAUCUGGGGUGAAUUUAGAUCACUCCUGAAACGCACCAGGCUGGGGUUGCUGGUUUGAGAAGAACACAAACAUAUUUGGUUAUGUUGUUAUUGUUAGUAUUGAGAAAAAACGUAUACGUUUGUGUGUUAAGACUUUAUUAGGUACCUACUAUGCGCAGAUGUGUUUUGCCCUGGGGAAUUGCAGAUGGGCAGAAAAGGGAUGUUCUUUAUGGUGAAUCAAAGAAUUGUGCAGAUAAUGAGAAUAAUGACAAUUUGAAUAAAGUGCUAAUAGGAAAGAUAGAGCAUACUAAGGGAGAAGAUUGAAGGGACCCAACACGGGGACAGUGGAGGUCAGGGGAAGUUUAGAAGCCCUGUGUUUGAAGUGAGUCUGAAAUAUAUAUUUAAGAUUUUUAUUUAUUUAUUUGACAGAGAGAGAGACAGCGAGAGAGGGAACACAAGCAGGGGGAGUGGGAGAGGGAGAAGCAGGCUUCUUGCUGAGCAGGGAGCCUGAUGUGGGGCUCGAUCCCAGGACCCCAGGACCACGACCUGAGCUGAAGGCAGACGCUUAAUGACUGAGCCACCCAGGUGCCCCUGAAAUAUAUAUAAGAUUUUAUUUAUUUAUUAGAGAGAGAGAGAGAUGGGGGGGGCAGGAGCAGAGCAGGAGGGAGAAAGAAUCUCAAGCACACUCUUAGCUGAGUGCAGAGCCUGACACAGGGCUGAGUACCACGACCCUGAGAUCAUGACCUGAGCCGAAAGCAGGAGUUGGACACUUAACUGACUGAGCCACCCAGGCGCCCCAAGUCUGAAAUAUUUUUUAAGAGGUACCCAAAUAAAGGGGUCGGAGAGUUCCAGGUUGGGUGUCUUUGGAGCUACUGUGCCCUCAGUGGCUUCUGGAGCGUUUGAAACCUUAUUUGUGCUUUGGCAGAUGUGAGAAGCACUAGAAUUCUUUGCAUGCUGGCCAAGGGACAAAAUGUGUAUUUUUGCUCAUUAGGACCAUGGGUGUUGACUUUUUACCUCACAUAGCUGGGUCAUAUUAUGUAGAGUCCUGUUGUCUUUUGUAGGACUAUUGUAUGUCCCUUUACCCCCGCCAGGGAGGACAUUUAAGGCCAGGCUAGCCCCUGCUUCCCGGAGUAGCCUCUGCAGAGAAUGUUCAGUUUUUACCCUGCCUCAGAGUAUUUUGUGCGAAAAUACUAAAUGACUUCAUCAUUGCAACACGAGAGUUCUAUUUGCAAACCCUAGGCAUUGUAGGACUGUGCCUCUUCCUGAGAUGGGCUGCACAUGUGUCUUUGAUGCCAAAACGAGCAGGUCUUUAUUGAAUAUAAACACCAUUUAAAAUACUGCCAAGGUGAUUUCCCCGUGCUGGUGUUCCUGAAUGUUAAGAAUACUGAGUUAGGUUUAGAAUGUCUUCUGUUGUACCUGGUUUUUCCUGUGCACGUCUUAAAAACCUAGUUUCGAUUUCAGGGUUUUACGAUUUUUUGUGUGUGUUUUGGAAGGGAGGGAGAGGGAGGUGAUCUGAAAGAAAAUUAUGUAAAUCCUAAAUGUACAAUAGAUGAGAUAUCAAAAAGUCAACAAACCUAAGUAGCACCAGCCCAAUCUGGAUCUAGAAGAAAAACCAGGUUGGCAACCAAGAAGCCCCCUUUUGGGCUCCUCCCCAAAGGGAACCCCACUAUCUUGACCUCUGUCCCCACUGAUGAGUUUUGCUUGUUUGAGGACUUUGUGUAAAUGUGUUCGUUCAGCAUUUGUUCUUUGCACCUUGCCCCAUCUCCUCCUCCACGUUAUGCUUCAGCUUUGUCCAUUUUGCAUAUAGUGGUAGUUCAUUCAUUUGCAUUUUUGUAUAGCAUUAUAUACAGCAUGGAGAUGCCAACAUAUACCCAUGUGUUCCACUGUUGAUGACAUUUGUGUUGCUUGUUGUUGGGGAUUAUUAUGAAUAACGUUACUGUCAUUGUGGCCACUCAUGUCUUUUGGUACUCAAGGAAUGCACUUGCAUUUCUUUGGGGGGGUAGCUGGAGUGGAAAUGCAGGAUCGGGUCAUAGACUAUGCCUUUGUCUAGUUCGUCUAGAUGAUUCCCAGUGGCACUGCAAGGUGCUUGCUCCAAUUUACAUUUCCACUGGCAGUAUAUGAAUUUCCCUUGCUUAACAUUUCCAGCAGCACUUGGUAUUGGCAAUCUUUUAAUUUCAGCCAUUUAGAAUAUGCCUACUUUAUUGUUUUAAAUUGAUCAUUAUGGCAUCUGGGUGUUUGUUGAAACGCUUCAACAGCGUUUAGCUUCAACCCUGAGUGAAGGGCUGUGGGGUGACCUCCUGAGGCCUUAACUGAAUGUGGGGCCGUCGUUUUGGACCUCAUCCUCCAGAAUCUGAUAGACCAAGGUCCCAAAGCCCGUGGCAAACUGUGUGAAUUUACACAGCUAUUCAAGCUCUUUGAGUCUCAGUCUCCUCCUCUGCAUAAUGGGAAUAAUUUGAAAUUCCUCAUGGAGCUGCUCUGAAGAGUGUAUGAAUCAACCCACCAAAAAGCCCAUAGUUCCUGGCCUAUAGUUACCAUAACAAAAGAAGUUAUGAGGUCGCUGUGAGUCAUAGGAAGAAGCGGCUGGCUACAUUGCUUUGGAACACGCCUAUAUUUAUUUUCGUUUAUCUUUUUUUAGGGGAAACAAAGUUAUUUCACUCAGAGCGUCCGACGUCAAAACCCAAUAUAUCCUUUCUGGAAACUACCUCGUUGGUUUGAUGUUCAGGUGGCUCAGUGUGUUGUUUUGAAGGGUGGCAUGUUUACGGCUCAGCAGGACCAUAAACACUCCUCCGGCCCAGGGCUGCUCUGGAUUUGUGAGCAGUUGACACAAGGGCAGCGGAGAAGGAAAUCAUCCCCAGCUCGUGUUUUGACACAGAGGAGUUUUGUUUUUCCUUUGUCAACCCUCUGCAUCCUCCACGGAAAACAAACAAAACACUCCAGCAAUGGUAAAUAUUGUGACGGCAGCCAGCAAUGUUUCCUUUUCCGCCACGCAGGGUGACCGAGGGUGGCAUUUUAAAAGACCCGUGGUUGUCAUUCUGAUACUUGCAAGAGCGCCGGCGCAGUCCCAGAAAUGAAAGAGGAGACGUGCAGGAAGCGAAGACCCGCAAAAUCAGUGUUUCUUUUGGGGGACAUUGUGAGCCUGUCAAGGAGGAAGCAGUGGAGGGCAGUGAUGGGGGCUGUUUGCAUUUCCUCCCUUGGGACACCCAGAUUUCUCAUGCUACCCCUCCUGAGCCUUACGAGAGACCCCUAAAGACUGUGGAGCGGCCUCCCCGGUGGCUUUGUUGUCACUUCGCUCAGAGCGUGGCCUCACUCUGCCUCCUGUGUCCUGCCUGGGCCAGACUCCUCUCCAACCUACUGGGGAACCGGCCAGGCCAGGAGGGGAGGGGUGGGGGAGCCCCCAGCUCACAGUUUCCCAGAGUUUGCCUUGAAUUUUGUCAUUAAAGGUUUCAUUCGCUUCAUAAAGUGUAUCCAUAAUAUGUUUUCUUGACCUUUCCCACCUCUUUUCUUUUGAAAGAGAAGAAAAGAAGAGCCAGACAAGAGAGGGAGGUUCACACGGCUGGGUUCUUGGCGUUCACAGACAGGGGUGCAUCCGUCGACAUUGUUUCUUUUUAGUUAUAGUUACAUGUUUUUUUUUUUUUUAAUUCUUAUGUUAAUCCCCUACAUUACAUCAUUAGUUUUAGAUGAAGUGUUCCAUGAUUCAUUGUUUGUGCAUAACACCCAGUGCUCCAUGCAGAAUGUGCCCUCCUCAAUACCCACCACCAGGCUAACCCAUCCUCCCACCCCCUCCCCUCUAGAACCCUCAGUUUGUUUUUCAGAGUCCAUCGUCUCUCAUGGUUCGUCUACCCCUCCGAUUUCCCCCGCUUCAUUCUUCCCCUCCCGCUACCUUCUUCUUCGUCUUCUUCUUUUUUUUUUUAGUUACAUGUUUUUUUAAGUAAUCUUUACGCCCAACAUGGGGCUGGAACUCACGACCCCCGAGGUCAAGAGUUGCAUGCUCCUCCAACCGAGCCAGCUAGGGUACCCCUCUCAUUUCUUUUUAGUUGCCCUAUUUGGGGCAAGGUCCUUCAUUUCUCCAGGACUCAAUUCUUUCAUCUCUCUAUGGAGGCAGCGAUGCUAGCAUUGAUUACGAGGGUUAUGUUAAAAAUGACAGAUGUUACAAAAUAAAACGUGAGAAUGGCGCUUACUUUGAGUGCUUGGCCUACAUCCAUUCGUUAGUCCUUACAGCCGCCUGUGGGCUGUUUUGCUCUAAGGUACAGAUGAAGACACUGAGGCAGAGAGUGUUUUAAGGGACAUGGCUAACGCAGGUUCCUCAGAUAAUCAGUGGCAGGGCUGGGGUUUGGAUGGGAGGCAGUUCAGUUUCAGAAUCUGUCCUUCAUCCCAGUAUUGCCAUGUUCCCACUGGUCCUCCAAAGCAGGCAUCCCACCCCUCAUUCUUCUCUCUAUAGACAACCAUGGCACAGUUUGGCCUAACUCUUCCUAAGUAAUUUGAGGCAACGGAACUGGGAUCGCGCCAUCCACUCUCUCUGUGUUUCUUGCUUGUUGCAUGAUACGCUGUGUCAUAAAUAUUUUCCAUGUGCAUACCUCUGGUUCUACCUAGGUAAAAAAUUAACCACCUUGGUGAGAGCUGUUCAUUUAGCCCAGCCUCGGUGGGGGUGGGGGGCGUGGGGGGCUGGCUUUCUUUCAGAGCAACCCGGUUUGAGCUGGCUUGCUGCCUAGGAACUGGCUUUCUUUCCCACAAAGUAGCUUCUGAGAAAAACUGUGGGAAACAAAUGACUUCAGAAGUUUCUAGAAACAAAAGUGCAAACGCUUAACAAAUUUCAUCUGGUCCAAAAAUGUUAUUACCCCAAAUCUUGAAAAUAUUUUCUUACAGGAUUAUUCCCCCAAGGUUGUUAAUCUGAGAACGAUCCGGGCCUAUUAGGCCUGACUUUUUGCCCCCUGAUAUUGGAGUCCUGUGUAGCUGAGUGCCAGAGUGUGGGGGUUGAGGUAAAAAUAUUUCUGUGGAGGAAAUGAAGUCAUUUUAUUUAAUAUUAUAGCGACCACUGGGACUCUAUCAUUUCAGAAAGGGGAUGGCAGUUCACCCAGCCAAGAUGAAGCUUUACAAUUGGUCCAAGAGUCCUUUUAAAAGGUAGCAGUAGGCUUUGGUAGCCGCAAAUCUUUAUUCAUUGUAUCUGCCCUGAAGAUUCUUGCUGUAGUUAAGUUUUACCAAAUGAACACUGUUUUUCUAGAUAAAUGUUACUGUAACAUUAUCCGCCUCUUUCUUUUCCUGGUUGACAUUCAAAGCCAUUUUACUUGAGGUGUUACCGAGUGGCAGUUUCUAUGUUGAGGCGAUUGUGUGAGACCCGCUUCUCUGGCCCUGAGCGCCCAGCACCCCGUGGAGACAAUCCUUCAUUUGUUCGCAGAAGGAAGGAAUGUGCCACUCAUUGUAAACCAGCCUCCCUGGAUACACCUGUAGGGCUGGUUUCACUUCUGAGCUCCGGACACAGGCAGAGUUCACCUUGUUCUGGCAACGGAAUGUCAACAGUGACUGGAUCCUUGAGGAGCUGGGGUUUCUGUGUCCUCCUUCCGCUGGUGAAGUCUCGAGUGUGGUGAGAGCGCACAAGCAGGGGGAGUGGCAGAACGAGAGGGAGAAGCAGGCUCCCUGCUAAGCAGGGAGCCCAACACAGGGCUCUGUCCCAGGACCCUGGGACCAUGACCUGAGCCGAAGGCAGACGCUUAACCGACUGAGCCACCCAGACAUACCUACAUCUACAUUUUCCCUCCUCACCGCUAACUGAACAUGAGCAUUUCUUUCAGUUACCAACUUGGGCAAGAGCACACAGGAGCAUGACAAUACCCAUGACUUUGUCAUCAAUAGAAAUCUCAGAUAUUUUGAUAUGGCAUUCUGGUUUUGUUUAUGUCUACCAUUACCGAGAAAUUACAGUAGUUAUUAGACUCACCACUAUUUAUUUGCUACUCAGUACCUUCAUUAAGAAAAAAAAACCAUAAUUAUAAAUGUGUUCUUAUUUCAGUAAAAUUGGUUUCCUCCGUACUCGUGUGCAUCUUAUUCGACUCAUUUAUAAACAUCUUUCCAUCAUUCUGAGAAAGGCCUGUAGGCUUCAUCUGACUGCACAAAAAAGAUGAAGAGGGAGUUUUUUUUUUAAAGAUUUUAUUUAUUUAACAGAGAGAAACAAGUGAAGGAGGGAACACAAGCAGGGGGAGUGGGAGAGGGAGAAGCAGGCUUCCCGCCGAGCAGAGAGCCUGAUGCGGGGCUCGAUCCCAGGAUCCUGGGAUCAUGACCUGAGCCGAAGGCAGACACCUGAUGACUGAGCCACCCAGGCGCCCCUGAAGAGGGAGUUUUAAAGCUGAUCAUAUAAACUGAUUUGAAUCUCCAGAGCUAUCCAGUCUAAAUAUAAUGGGAAGCACAUGUAAUUAAAAUUUUUCUGGUAGCUACUAUAAAAGGAAUAAAAUGGAACAGGCUUAAUGCAUAUUAAUAAUAUAAUCUUAUUUCAAUAAUUAAAUUUUUUUUGUUAAUUAUAAUUAAGUUUUGACCUAUUUAGUGAAAUCUGUUCAAAAUAUUAUCAUUUCAACAGAUAGUCAAUAUCAGGUAACUAAUGAGGUAUUUACAUUUUUUCUUCAUCCCGUCUUGGAAAUUAGGUGUGUAUUUUGCGCUUAGAGUAGCAUCUCACUUUGGAUGCUACAGUUUCAUUGGAAAUACUUGAUCUGUGUAUACAUUUAACAGGAUUUUUUUGGAAAAGCAGAUUCAGGUCCAAAUACGAGGAAAAUGUUUCCUUUAACGACAUUGUCAUUUAAAUUGAAAUCAAUAACGGUAUCAGAUAGCCCCGCUCCAGUCUGGCUGGGCACAGAACCCUUGUGAGGGAGAAACAUGAGCAGGGCACUGGGAGAGAUUUCAUUAAGGUAGCACCUGCUCUUCUGUUACUUUGUUUAGUGAAUGAAAUCCUGAUGGAGACCCUUUCUCCCUGAGGUUCUCCUCAUCCCUCUACCUGUCCCCAAGUAAACCCUCACUGCCCCAGGGAUGACACAAAAAGCCGAGGUCUCUCUGGCUGGGGCUUUGUGUGACUUAAAGGAGGGGUUUCUGUUUUAGUGGUGACUUUUGCAGAUCCCUACGGGGUGGAAUUUUGUAAUUUCCAUUCCAGCCUGUUGAAGAGGUAUUUACAAAUUCAUGGAGAGGAAAGUUCUAAUUUUUUUCCCCUUGAGCAGUUCUUUGGUAUAACAAUGGGAUUUAAUUGACAUUUGAAUUUUUAGUAGCUGUUUUUAUUCCCCCCCCCCCUCCUGUGGUGUCUUGCAAGACUCGAUUUAAUCUUUUAUUUUAGCCCCUACUUCCUGGAUUCACAGUUUACCUUCUCAGGCUGUCAUUCCCCUGCUAGGACAGGUGCAACCUGGUGGUUUUUAGUUUUUUGGAUCCUUGAGAGAAGGUGCGUAUCCAUGUGGAGGACCUUUGUCACCUAGUUCAGCCAGGCUGUGUAUUUCCCACUGCUGGCUACAGUUGUUAGAAAGAUCUUUUCCCUUCCAGGAGUGGAUCUCUGCAGUUAAGCUAGAUAGUUCCAGCCAACUCUAACCUAUGUACUUGGGCGGUCUCACCGUACUUUCAUAUCCUAACUUGUGUGUCUAAUUUUUGAUACCGGGUGUGGCUUUUUCAUUUUUUUGCUUGAAAUUGGUAAGUUCUGAAAAAAUUGCAAACCAAUACAGUGACCAGGCCAAAUCCAGUUUACUAUUUUCUAGAGAAAAGUUGAAUUACUUUGGGGUUCAGGUAGAUCCAGAAGGGCCGUCAGAGACUGACAGUAAGUGAAUUCUGCAGAUGAGUGACUUCCUCGUGUGUUCGGCCCUUUGGAUAGACUGUUGAACUGUGUUGGGUCUUAGAAACCUGGAAGCAUGUCUCAUACCUCAGCUGACCCCUGGGACUGGAUGUUGUAUAUUAUACUGUGCUCAUACUUCUGAAGGAGAACACAAGGCACAUUGCCUGCUCUUGAGGAGUUGUGGUCUUGGUAAAAUGAAGCUGUAAACUUAGACAGGUCUAAUGGAUGAUUGAGAUGGAAGGUACAUUUGUCAGUGGGUUCUGUUUUAAAAUUCUUUUUUUUUUAAGGUUUUCUUUAUUUCAGAGAGAGAGAGAGGGAGCACGCGCGUGCGUGAGUAGGGGGGAGGGGCAGAGGGAGAGAGAGACAGAUGUUCCACUGAGUGGGGAGCCCAGUGCCAAUGCCAGGGCUCCAUCCCAGGACCUUGGGAUCAUGACCUGAACCUAAGGCAGACGCUAACUGACUGAACCAUCCAGGCUCCCCUCACUCGCUUUAAAAAAAGAUUUUAUUUAUUUAUUUGAGAGAGAGAGAGAGAGAGUAAAAUUCUAUACCAAACAGAAACAGAGCAAUUUCCUGCCAAGGAGUAGUAAUAACAACAGAAAUAGCAGUUGGCAUUUAUUGAUUCAUUCAGCAAAGGUUUAGUGGGUGCUUACUAUGUGUCAAGCACUCUUCUAGAAUAGAGCAGCCAACACAAUGGGCACAGAGUCUGCUUGGGUUUAUUAUGCAGGUGUUGGGAAUGUAUCUGAUAUGACACGUGCACACUUGCAUUUUAAUGAGUUGAGUGAAUAAAAAUUUAUAGCUGAAUGUCAUCACGGCUGCAAUGGAAGUGUGAGCAGGAAGUGAUAAAUGCUUUGAAGAAUACCAAAUGAUAGGUCUGGCGAGGACAAACUUGAACAAGUGACAGUUGCUUUCUUUCCAUCUCGUUCUCUCUGGGCUUCAUUCAGUCAGCUCUUGUCAUCUUCUUAGGUCGGGAGUGAGCAGUUGGAGGACUGUGAAUGAUUCAGUGCAGUCAUUUUGCUUUGAGCCGUGUGAACAUGGACAGUUUAUCUGUAGCAUCAUCCUCAGACUGCGUAGGAUUUGUUUUCUCAAUGACUGCUAAGAGAGUCUCUGAUGUUAAAAUCAAAUCAGAUACCAAAUUGUUAAAAAAACAAUUUCCAGCAGUUUAAAUUUUAAUUAAGCCAUUGCUUUAAUAUUAUUUCUAGGCAUAUAUGGCUUUUUAAAUGCGUGGAUUGAGGAUGGAUGUCUUCGCUGUGACACAGUGGUUUGUUUUACAAAUACAUUGAAUACAUGACAAAUAUAUGUAAAUACAAAUGCAUUGAAUAAACUGAGCCCCUUUGAAUUGUGCCCUUAUCUUUAAAAGGAAAGACUUCUAAAAUUUAAACAUGGAUUUUGAUGUUUUUGAGUUUGCCCUACUGAACUUUGCAAGAAUUUUCAAGCUCUUGGGUCUAACACAAACUGGAGUUUAGUGAGACGGAUCAAAUAAUUUUAUUCUCAUCUCAAAGUUACUGAUGUAGGAGAGAUGUUGGGGUCUGUAGCCCAUGGCCAAGAAAGAAUUCUUGAGAUGUCUUUGGUGCAAAAAGGUGGUUUUCUUAAAGCACGGGGACAGGACUGUGGGCAGAGCAGCACUGGGGUACUGAGGAGUGGCCCAUUAUAUACUUUCCAGUUGGGAGGGGGUUAGGGAUAGGGUAAGCCUCCCAGGUAUUUGGGAAACAAGGUUUCCAGGACCCUGAGAGGGCCUCGCCAUUAUUAGGAAAGGGUCAUUUAUUAUUGUCUAAUAAAACCCUAGUCAUGAGACCCUUCAGAUGUAUAUCGGUGGAUCAUACGCUUCAGGGAUGAUUGUUAACAUAUAUCUUGGGGAGUUUAGAGAUAAAGGAAUUUUCCAAAGGAAUUUUUAUAUGUUAAAGUAGACUCACAGGAUCCUGGUGGUCGGGCUAAGAUUGGCUUUUGCCCUUAGCAAAGUAUUAACAUCGAUGUGGCUGAGUCCCUAAAGGACUGUCACUCUGCCUGUUUCAAGGACUUGUCAAUGGGCUGCAAGUAGUAAGGAAAUGUAAUUUUUCUUUUGCUUUUGUUUCCCACAUCGGUUACCAUGAACUCCACUUGGGCAGGUUGGACUGUAUUAUAAUGGAAGAGCCAAGGCACCUGUCAUUUUAUUCUGUUGCAAUAGGGAGAACUUGCAUUAAUGAGGAAAGUCUCAGAGUAGAGAGAGAACACUUAGGGUUUUAUAAAACGAGGGAAUCAAUGAGGAAAAUGGGAGGUGGGUCCCAGCAUAUUCCAGAACAGAAUGGUCCUUUGCAUGGGGUCCUUGCUCUGAACACAAAAGGGUCACAAAAGGGUGGUAGCAUGUCUUGAACAGGGCUCUUUCCCUUGAGCCCUGGGCUCAGAUAAAGUUCAACAUUGUCAGUGCAUGCAUUGGGAAGUAUUUUUAAAAGGGUAUUGCUGAUUAAAGCUUUCACUUAAAAGCUUCAGCAGUUAAUCAGAAAUGUGCAAUUUAUAAUUAGUGUAAUUUAAGCAUAAUGAUUUCAUGGUAACUAUCUCAAUGUAGUCAUUUGAUGAUUUUAAGAUAUAAACAUGGGGUUUUUAACCCUCACAAGUUAUUUUAUGCCAGAAACUAAGAAAAAUGCUGCUGGUUAUUCUCCCCCAAUUCCCAUCUUAGGUUGAUCAUAUGAUUUUUCUGGGUCCUUAAUUAUAUUUAAUUAUAUUUAGGGGAUAUUUAUGCCAUUGCAUGUUCUGUUUGGGGUUUUGCAAAUUUGAAUCCCAAAGUUAGUAUAAAUAAAACAAGAAAUAUAAAAAGGACAUAGGCCUGUUAUCUUAGCAUUUUGUUUUCAGGAAUUGUUUGCUAGGGCUUAUGGAUCUAAUUCUCUUGCAACAUUAGGAUUCGGGUUUUCUUUAGGGAAUGCAGGAAGCAUAAACUGAGGAAUUAUUUUACAUAACAAUCAGAAUGAAAUGUUAUUUAUUUAUAAGUUACUCAGGGCCCAAAGGCCUUAGGGCACCAAACAUAACACAGUAUAGAAAACAAACCAAUUUUCAUUGACAUUUAGCUAUAAAUUGAAAUUAAUUCAUAUAAAAUACCUGAGACGAAACACUUUUUUGGGUACUGUUUAGCUUUCAUGGUUUUGUCAUUUUAGAUUUAACUUCAAAACUGUGUUGCAUAAACUCAUUUGCUAGAUAAAAUUUUCUGGCUAUCCACUUUUUAUUGUACUUCUGUACUGUGUAGGUGAACAGUUUAGUAUUUAAAAUUCUUACAUGUUUUUUUUUUUUUCCGUGUGGGUUUUAUCUUUUCUGUUUUUCAUUCCUUUGUACAUGGUCCUACUUAUUCUUGCUACUUAUUCUGGAGCCAAAGCUGGAUGGGGGUGCAGUGCACUGCUGUGUGUGUGUGUGUGUGUGGUCAGGAUAACAUUUUUGGGAAAUGGAUGACUGCAAAACAGUGAGGCCUGCCCACUUGUGGGCAAAUGACAUAACCAACAGCUUACCGAAUGCCUUGCCAAGACAAAUAGGAUUGAGUUGUCCCCAUUGGUGGCUGCUCCCACGCAUGCUGAAUUCAUUCCACCCUUGGCUCUGCCUUCCUGUAACCUGGAGAAACUUGCUGAAAUUUGUACCCAAAGGGGGAAAAAAAAAGACCAAAACAGGACAUAGUGAAGUUUAAAUAUGCCAAAUGAGGAAAUAAAUGAUACAGUGCAGAAAUGGCAGGGAGCACAUUCUACCUGAGACAGAGUUCAGAGGUCAGCAUCAAAAUCCAGAAGGAGGCAGAGAAGGACUUGAAAUUUCUAAAAGUUCGUUAAUUUGUGUUUCUUAUGAAUUGAGGUAACACGGUUUUUUGUUUUUUGUUUUUUUUUUAAAGAUUUUAUUUAUUUAUUUGAGAAAGAGAGAAUGAGAGAGAGAAAGCACAUGAGAGGGGGGAGGGUCAGAGGGAGAAGCAGACUCCCCGCCGAGCAGGGAGCCCGAUGCGGGACUCGAUCCCAGGACUCCAGGAUCAUGACCUGGCCCGAAGGCAGUCACUUAACCAACUGAGCCACCCAGGCGCCCCGUUUUUGUUUUUGUUUUUAAAUUCUCUUAUCACCACCAUUUCUGGUUUCCAGUAGUCUCCCUUAUUUCCCUGGGGAGGGCAUGCAGGAAUGGCAGGAAAUGCUAGGGCCUUGUUUGCAGAGCCCUCUCCAGGUGGCGGCUAGCCUGUGUGGCCAGCUAAUACCACUCCCUUCCAGUGUCCAUGCUGUAGGCUGACCUGAAGGUCAGAGCUGUCGCAUGUGUUUUUCCUCUUAUGUAAAAAAUAAAUUAGAUAGGGAAGUUUUAGCUGUUGAAUUAUUUUUUGAAAUUCAUGUGAGAGAUAUUAUUUUAAAUUUAAAGAAUUUAAAAAAAUGACCACCAUCCUAAUGAUUGUUUCUCAAGUGUGGCUUCGUUUACUGCUCUGAUUUAGACCUAGAGCAUGACUUGGCACAUACUAGGUAGCCAGUAAAUUUUCACUGAAUGCAUGUAUGGUCCAUAGACCACAGGCCUCCGAAGCUCCUGGGUGGUUAUUACAAAUGCAGGCUCUCAGGCAUCCCCUAGGCCUUCAGAAUCAGAAUGUCUAGGAGAGGAGCUGCAUUUUAAAAGAGGCUUCUCCAGCAGAUUUGUAUGUGUCCUCAAACUUGACAACUGCUGUGCUAACACACCCAAGGGUUUUUAGUUUCCAUGUUGCUUUUCAUAUACAUUGUAACAGGGAGGUUUUUAGGUUCAGUUCUCUAUCCAUCCAUAACUUCCCCACCUCUCCGCAGCAGUAUUAUAUAACAAAUAUUUACCUAGUUAUACAUAAAAAAAAACUUUUUAAAAACUAAUUAAUUAUUAUUAUUUUUAAGUAGGCUCCAUGCCCAAUGUGGGGCUUGAACCCUGAUAUCAAGAGUUGCAAGGUUUACUGACUGAGCCAGCCAGGCACUCCCUACUCAGUUAUACAUUUUAAUGUUAUCCAACAAAAUUGGAAUGCUCUCUAUACCUAACCAUUUUCCUCUUGUUGGAUUCCCCCUUUCCCUCCCUCAUUAUUCUUUAAAGCUCCGGAGUAAUAUAGGCAUGUAUAGCUAUUCUUUCUGUGAGCCGGGUGUUCUUUCUAGAAGUUUCUUGCAGAGAGGAGAUAACAAGAGCUAAAAGGGCUCCCUUCAUGGCUUUAAAAUUGUUAUUUAUUUGUAAGACUUUAUUUAUUAAUUAAAAUAUUUAUUUAUUUGAGAGAGAGCAUGUGCACAAGCUGGGGGGAGGGAGAAGGACAAGCAGACUCCACACUGAGCAUGGAGACUGACGUGGGCUCAAUCCCAGAACCCCAAGAUCAUGACCUGAGCUGAAAUCAAGAGUCCGAUGACUAACUGAGCCGCCCAGGUGCCCCAACUUUAUUUAUUUAUUAAAAAAAAUUUGUUAACUAUGUAUGGUGAUGGAUAUUAUUGUGGUGAUCAUUUUGCAAUAUGUACAUAUAUCAAAUCAUUAUGUUGUUUAUCUUAAACUAAUACAAUCUUAUAUGUCAGUGCUAUUUCAAUAAAAUGGGGGAAAAUGCCACCCCUAAAUAUUUCUGGCACCUUAGUGUGGUAUCUGGCACAUAGUAGAUGGUCAAUAAAUAUUUAAUAGAUGACUGGAUAAAUGGAUGAAGGAGUCAAAAAAUAAAAGGGCUUUUGGAAGCUAUUAGCAUUUAUAUAGCACUUUCAAUCUCUGCUGUCUAACUUGCUUACCUAGUACAUUCCUUUUUGAGGGAAAAACCAUUCCAGGUCACAUUUCAUUAAAUAUUACUAAGAAAUUGCAAAACUACUUACUGGUGAUGACCAAGGAUUCCUAAUUACUUCCCUUGAAUUAGGCAGGAGGGCUGGGUGCCUUGAGACUGAGGCAAGAAGAAUGUUUCUCCCUGGGAAUUUUUUCCCCCUUCAUUUGAGAAAUAUAAAAAUUAGCUGUGAUUCCUCAAGCUACAUGAUAAUGCUAAUCUUUUACAACAGAAGUAAAGAAGAUCCCAGUUCCCAUGUAAAUUUGGGGACUUUUGAGUUCUACAGAAUUAAUACAUUUCUUAAGACUUGUUAUUCGAGUAUACAAAAUAAACUGUUUCCCAAAUUUAUUUGACCUUAGAAUCUUUUCUUUAGUAUCUCUUAAAAUUACUUCUCUACAGAACAGUCUCUGGGGAAUACUCACCUAAAGGGGUGUUUUUCAAACUGCAGGACAAGAUUCAUGAUUAUGGGUCAUGGAAUUUGUGUAUAACCAGAAUUUACAUAUACAGAUACGUAAAAACACAACUCGUGUUUCCUUUUUCAAAGUGUGUGUCCUGAGAGCUCAGAGACAGAAGGUUACAUUUCUUUCUUUCUUUUUUCUUUAAAGAUUUAUUUAUGUAUUCCAGAGAGAGAGAGAGAGAGAGAAGCGUGAGUAUGUGUGUAUGUGGGGGGGGGGGGGGCAGAGGGAGAGGGAGAAUCUUAAGCAGACUCCCUGCUGAGCAAGGAGCCUAACUCAGGGUUCUAUUCCAAGACACCAAGACCAUGACCUGAGCUGAAAUCAAGAGUCAGACACUCAACCCACCAAGCCACCCAGGCUCCCAGAAGGUUCACAAGGUUCUUUCUGUGUCUCCUCCCACUAAAAGAAAACCAAAAAAGCACAAAAAUAUAGCCAGUUUGAUAUGAAGAAUGUAAGCAUAAAUAUAAUUUCUUGUUUAAAUAAUAGAGCAAUAUUAAUUCUAUUUAAUAAGCACAUAUUAGUACUUAAUAUGUGCCAACACUAUUGUGAUCAUUUUACAAAUAUGAACUAAUUUGAUCCUCAUAACCACCCUGCAGGGUAUAUGUGCUGUAAUCAUCCCCAUUUUAUGGAUGGGAAAGUGAAGCACUUGCUAGCAUUCUCUAUGAUAUAAUUAACUGUAAAAUCAGGAAGUGACAGUAAUAAUUAGUAUAUAUAACUUUGACCUCACAUUUAAUAAUGGCAAUUAAAGAUCAAAAGGAGAAGAGAAGCCAAUCAUAUUAUAUUAGAGUUAGGAUCGUGCCAAAUGUUCUUUCUGGCCCCAUGGUAAUGGGGCUUGGGUACAACGCAAAUUAUGUGCAGAUACUAGAAUGAUCAUUGGACUGUUUGAGGGCUUUUAAAAGAUAACAGAACAUGGAACAUGGAUAAAAUGUCUUCAGAUAUUAUUUGCUCAUUUGUGGCCAUCUGGCCACUGCAUGUAAUGAAUGACAAGUCAUCUACUAUAAGGAAUAUUUUUGUUUUUUAAGUGAGCAUUUCUCUAGUGUCAGGAUUAUUCCUUUUGCUGGUUUUCUUCCUAUCUUUCCUGCAAAUGGGAUAAAUCAUUUGUAAAAGUAGCACUUGUCACAGACUGUACUUUGUGUAUAGCAACAUGCUGUAUGUUGAGGCUGAGGGGUGAGGCUCCCAGCUCACACACUACCCCAAAGCAGGACAUGUUGGCCUAGUGCAUAUUUUGAGUUUAAGGAGUUUGAGAAAUGGCAGGUGCAGGAGGGACUUGGUGAUUUUCCCAUGAUACAGUUGAUAAUGACGGUCAUGUGACAGAUGCUCUUCCUAUACCUGGAAGAAAGGAAGGGAGACACCAGGAAGAAUUCAAAUUAACAGGCCUUGCUAAGUUUCCCCCAGAUUACCACACUUAGCUCGUAUCCUGUCACGUCUGUCCACAACUUUCCACUCUUCAUUGAACCUAGCGUUAGAAAUGCUCAAGUUUAACCACUUCUUGGGUCUUAUUUCCCUGUGAAGACUCUGGGUGGUCAUGCAGAAGUUAUAGUAAAUAAGUCUGAAUGUGUUUCUCUUGUUUAUGUUUUGUCAUAGAGCCCCAGCCAAGAACCAAGAAGGGUAGAAUGAAAGUUGUUUUCUCUCCCCUAUAAAGUGGCAUUUUCUAAGAAAGUUAAUAAUCUUCCUUUCGUUCCCCACAGCCAUUGGGAAACACUUUUUGUUUCUGAAGAGGUUGUUUUAUUCACUUAGGAGAGAAGACACACCCAAGGACUUCAGAGCCAUGGUUCUGAUUUCAGUGGAUAAGCAUAGCCGUGGUUCACAGUGGGAUUAGGGUUGUCCCCAGGGGACAUCUGGCAAUGUCUGGACACAUUUUUGGUUGUCACAACUGGGAGGGUGCUGUUGACAUCUAGAGGGGAGAGGCCAGGGAUACUGCUUAAACAGCCUGCAAUAGACAGCACAGCUGCCCCCAACAGAGAAUUACCCACAAAUGUAAACCAUGCCAAGGCUGAGAAAGCCUGCUUUGGAGCAAUUUGGUGCAAUUCUCUGUCAGUGAACCGCCUUGGUUUAAACUAAGGGCAGUAGAGUUCCAAUUCUUUGUGACUUGCUUCCAUUAAAAUUAUUUCUCUUGGACCUAUUCUCAUGACCAAUUACAGAUGUUUUGUGGGGAAGCUGUAGUGGAGAGAGGAGGCAAAAGAUGGCGUCAGUUGCCCAAAGAAUUGGGGUACUUAGAUUUUCUCUAAUCAUUGAAUUUUGGAGGAAGAGGGGGGGCUGUUUCAGGUUUGGAGUUUGUGAGGUGUUGGAAAAUCUGCUGCUGGAAUGUGCUAUGAACAGACUAAAUCAUGGUCAAUACGUGUCUGGUUGUCGCUGGGUUGAGCAGUGUCACAAAUGGUCUGCAUGUAUUGUUUUCUUAUUCAUAAUUUCCAAUAAAAUCAAAAUGUCACCUUUUUAAAGAUGAGGAAACAAUCUCAGAAGUUUAGUAACUGUGGACUUCUCUAAUUCCUUGUUGAAGCAUGGUGUAGUAAAUAGUAAAUUCUUUUGAAUGGCCAUUCCUCGGGUUGCUUUCUUUGUGCUCUGCUUUGCUUGGGAUAAAGAGAAGUGAGGUUUGGAGAACUUCUUGAACGUACUCCAGUGUUUUAAGGCCUUCCCUCCCUGCUGGUUGCCUAGCCCAGGUCCUCGCAUCUGAUUGCCAGUGAGGAGGAAAGGUCUCUUACUAAGGGACACAGAGGUAGAAUAGAAAACAUUUAGACAAAUUGCAGCCUCUGCCAUCCUGAUACUUGAAGAUUCUCCCCUGAUCUUUUCAUUUUAGUCUCUUAAGAUUCCUCUUUCUCAUUUUAUUCUUCCUUUAUCUCCAUAGACUAUAAAGUGAUCCAGAAACUUAGUAAUAUUAUGAAUGACCAUUUAUCAAGUGGCCACAAUCUGCUUACUAAUGUUCAAAGAAUAUGAGGAAUGUCAGUUUUGUUUCCAAAUCCUCAUUAUCCCCAAACUACUUGAUACCAAGCCUGCUUAGGUCUUUUUACUCCCCAAAUCAAUCACCCUUUUAUUUCUCAUAGGGUCUUAGGUGCAGAGGACACAUUCUGCAGAAGAUCAGACGCGGUCUGAGUGAUGGGGAUGUAGGAGAUGGUAUUUUAUGUAGCUUGUGUCACUCCUACAAUAAUUCAGAUGGGUUCAUAAUUUAAUAUUCAUCCUUGAAAUAUUUU